rfam:TPA: Bos taurus chromosome 7, whole genome shotgun sequence.
UCCCUGGUGGUCCAGUGUUUAAGACUCCAUGCUCCCAAAGCAGGGGAUCCAGGUUCAAUUCCUGGUCAGGGAA